UACGUAGGGGGCAAGCGUUAUCCGGAUUUAUUGGGCGUAAAGCGUGUGUAGGCGGUUUAUUAAGUCUAAGAUCAAAGCCUGGGGCUUAACCCCAGUUCGUCUUAGAAACUGGUAGACUUGAGUGUGGUAGAGGCAAGUGGAAUUUCUAGUGUAGCGGUUAAAUGCGUAGAUAUUAGAAGGAACACCAGUGGCGAAGGCGGCUUGCUGGGCCAUUACUGACGCUGAGACACGAAAGCGUGGGGAGC
rnacentral:rRNA from 1 species